UGGUGGAGUGAUUUGUCUGCUUAAUUGCGAUAACGAACGAGACCUUAACCUGCUAAAUAGUCGGGCCAGCUUCGGCUGGUCAUUGGCUUCUUAGAGGGACUAUCGGCUUCAAGCCGAUGGAAGUUUGAGGCAAUAACA
rnacentral:rRNA from 1 species